GACGAACGCUGGCGGCGUGCUUAACACAUGCAAGUCGAGCGGAAAGACCCUGCUUUUGUGGGGUGGCUGUUUGGCGCACGCGUGAGUAACACGCGAGUAACCUGCCCUUGUCUUUGUGAUAUCUUCAGGAGACUGGGGCUCAUACCGGAUAGGAGCUCCUGCUGCACGUUGGGGGUUGGAAAGAUUCGGCGGUGGGGGAUGGACUCGCUGCUUAUCAGCUGGUUGGUGUGGUAGUUACGUACCAAGUCUGUGACGGGUAGCCGGCAUGAGAGGGUGGCCGGGCACAAUGGGACUGAGAGACGGAGCAGAAGCCUACCGGAGGCAGCAGGCGAGAGUAUGGCGGAGUGGGCGGAAGCGUGAGGCAGCAACGCUGGGUGCGGGAUGAUGGGUUUCGGGUUGAAAACAGAUUUCGAAGGUGAUGAAGCGAGAGUGACGGUAACGGGUAAGGAAGCACCGGCUAACUACGUG
rnacentral:rRNA from 1 species